AUGUCUGUGUGUGUGGGGGGGUUUUCUUGUUCUGGGUAUACAGACAGGAUGACCAGUCUAGAGGAGGUUCCCUUUAAGAGCCCUCUGGGGCCACUACAGGAGCUGGGGCCCCUGGGAGGAGAGAUAGAGCUGGUUACGGCCCCAGAGUUCACCAUACCAGACCACCUCCAAAUACUACAAGACACUGAGUAUGAGUUCACCUUAGAGAACUGGGUGAUGUCUGCACUCCAUGGAGGAUGCUGCCGACCCUGGGAUGCCCCGCCCCCAUCCUGUCCUCCGUACUGGCUCAUGUUCUCUAGUCCCCAGGAGAGGCGCUCGGCCAGCAGGUGGAACAGUGAUCUGCGGGGCUCUGCUCUCCGACCAAGGAGCCACAGCCUAAGCUCUGUGGACACACGUCACCUUAACCACCACCCUCAACCCCACCCCCACCACCGCUGCCAGCAUAGCCACCGAAAAAUCAAGUUAAUGGUCUCCGACUCGGAAGACGAAGCUGGCUACUCAGAAGAUGACGAGGGCUCCUCCACUGAAGAUAACGCCUCAGACUCAAAGACACACCGUGGAGCCUAUCACGGUGGUGAACGGCCUCGGUCGCAAAGCUCUGCACCAAAACACCCAUUAUCCAGAGUCAAAGACCACCAUCUUGGAUCUUCAGGAUCUUCCUCGGCUCAUCACCACUCUAACCAGCCUUCCACUGGUGGUGAACGACCACGGUCGCAAAGCUCUGCACCAAAACACCCAUUAUCCAGAGUCAAAGACCACCAUCUUGGAUCUUCAGGCUCUUCCUUGGCUCAUCACCACUCUAACCAGCCUUCCACUGGAGGUCGAGGCUACCAGGGUCGCAACAGGAGGGCCAACUCUUCCUCCGUCCUGGACUGCAGGAGGCAAGGGUCAUUCACCGGGCUCAAACAGGAGCAGGGGCGUACCAUCAGCCCACUUUGCCAUGGUCAGGACAGCAGUCCCCAGUGCCAUGGCGAUCAGAGGCCCUGCAGGAAGGAUUUCAGAAGCCAGCAGCAGGUGUCAUCGUCCUCUGGCCUGGAAGAGUCUUUUGUGCGGGCCGGUAGCCCUCAGUGCCAUGGUCAGGCCAGCAGUCCCCAGUGCCAUGGUCAGGCCAGCAGUCCCCAGUGCCAUGGUCAGGCUAGCAGUCCCCAGUGUCAUGGUCAGGCUAGCAGUCCCCAGUGCCAUGGUCAGGCCAGCAGUCCCCAGUGCCAUGGUCAGGCUAGCAGUCCCCAGUGCCAUGGCGAUCAGAGGCACUAUAGCAGAAAGAGGCAGCGUUCUUUGUGGUCAACGGGAAGGAAAAACUCUGUGACCCCACAGCAGCCACAACGACCCGCUUCAGCUGGCCCUGAAAUCAAGAACAACAGGCAGACUGUAAGUAUAGCCUAUUCCCAGGUCUGUGUGGCUAGUGUUGUUGUUAGGUCAAAACAUGACAUCCCUCUGCUCUGUGAUAGACAGACACAGACACCUUAUACGGUUGUAUUAGG
rnacentral:lncRNA from 13 species